AUGCGCGUUGCCAAGAAUUUAUGGGAUGCGCUCGAAGCUAAGUUCGGCGCAACCGAUGCUGGAAGCGAGUUGUAUGCUAUGGAGCAGUUCCAUGAUUACAAAAUGGUUGAUAACCGUUCUGUAUUGGACCAGGCUCAUGAGAUACAAUGCAUCGCUAAGGAGCUGGAGCUCCUGAAGUGUGAGUUACCGGACAAGUUUGUCGUGGGUUGCAUUAUUGCGAAACUCCCUCCUGGAUGGAGGAACUUUCCUACUUCUCUCAAGCACUUGAGACAUGAAUUCUAUGUUGAGGAUGCCAUUGGUCAUCUAAGUGUUGAGCAGAACUCGAGAGCAAAGGACUCACACGUGAAAAGGGCAGAGGGUUCUUCUAGCGCCAAUGUGGUGCAGAAGAACUUCCACAAGUUCAAGGGAAAUAACUAUGUCCAACAAAAUACUACCUUUAAGAAGAAGGGUAAGAAGAAAGACAAGAAGAGAGAUGGCUGCUUUACUUGUGGUUCAGAGGAACAUUGGGCAAACAAGUGCCCAAACAAGUAUAAGAAGCCAGGACAGGACGCAAAGUCUGUCAAUGUCACUUUGAGCAACCAUGAUGGGGCAUCUGGGUCACACGAGAUUGUUCCGUCCUGA
rnacentral:rRNA from 1 species